GACGGAGGUGGCGAGCGUUGUUCGGAAUUACUGGGCUUAAAGGGAGCGUAGGCGGUAUGCUAAGUCGCAGGUGGAAGCCCGGGGCUCAACCCCGGUAUGUCCUGCGAAACUGGUGUACUUGAGUUGUCCAGGGGAUGGCGGAAUUCCAGGUGUAGCGGUGAAAUGCGUAGAUAUCUGGAGGAAGGCCUGUGCCGAAGGGGGCCAUCUGGGGACACACUGACGCUGAGGCUCGAAAGCGUGGGUAGCAAACAGGAUUAGAUACCCUGGUAGUCCACGCCCUAAACGGUGAGUAUUAGGUGUCGGGUGGGAGACCAUUCGGUGCCGCAGGGAAACCAUUAAAUACUCCGCCUGGGGAGUACGGCCGCAAGGUUGAAACUCAAAUGAAUUGACGG
rnacentral:rRNA from 1 species